AUCGCUUCUCGGCCUUUUGGCUAAGAGCAAGUGUAGUAUCUCUUCUUAUCAGUUUAAU
rnacentral:snRNA from 1 species